UACGAAGGGGGCUAGCGUUGUUCGGAAUUACUGGGCGUAAAGGGCGCGCAGGCGGUCGAUCAAGUCAGGCGUGAAAGCCCCGGGCUCAACCUGGGAAUAGCGCUUGAGACUGAUGGACUUGAGUUCGGGAGAGGAGAGCGGAAUUCCCAGUGUAGAGGUGAAAUUCGUAGAUAUUGGGAAGAACACCGGUGGCGAAGGCGGCUCUCUGGGCCGACACUGACACUGAGAGACGAAAGCUAGGGGAGCGAAUGGG
rnacentral:rRNA from 1 species